GAUGAACGCUGGCGGCGUGCCUAAUACAUGCAAGUCGAGCGAACGGACGAGAAUCUUUCUUCUCUGAUGUUACCGGCGGACGGGUGAUUAACACGUGGAUAACCUACCUAUAAGACUGGGAUAACUUCGGGAACCCUUAGCUAAUACCGGAUCAUAUUUUGAACCGCAUGGUUCAACAGUCAUCGACCUUCUUGCUGUCACUUAUAGAUGUAUCCUCGCUGCAUUAGCUAGUUGGUAAGGUAACGGCUUACCAAGGCAACGAUGCAUAGCUGACCUGAGAGGAUGAUCAGCCACACUGGAACUGAGACACGGUCCAGACUCCUACGGGAGGCAGCAGUAGGGAAUCUUGCGCAAUGGGCGAAAGCCUGACGGAGCAACGCCGCGUGAGUGAUGAAGGUCUUCGGAUCGUAAAGCUCUGUUAUUAGGGAAGAAGAUAAGUGUAAGUAACUGUGCACGUCUUGACGGUACCUAAAGAGAAAGCAACGGCUAACUACGUG
rnacentral:rRNA from 1 species